rnacentral:rRNA from 1 species
GAUGAACGCUGGCGGCGUGCUUAACACAUGCAAGUCGAGCGAGUGAGUUCUUCGGAACGAUCUAGCGGCGGACGGGUGAGUAACACGUGGGCAACCUGCCUCAUAGAGGGGAAUAGCCUCCCGAAAGGGAGAUUAAUACCGCAUAAAAUUAUCGAGUGGCAUCACGUGAUAAUCAAAGGAGCAAUCCGCUAUGAGAUGGGCCCGCGGCGCAUUAGCUAGUUGGGGAGGUAACGGCUCACCAAGGCGACGAUGCGUAGCCGACCUGAGAGGGUGAUCGGCCACAUUGGGACUGAGACACGGCCCAGACUCCUACGGGAGGCAGCAGUGGGGAAUAUUGCACAAUGGGGGAAACCCUGAUGCAGCAACGCCGCGUGAGUGAUGAAGGUCUUCGGAUUGUAAAGCUCUGUCUUUGGGGACGAUAAUGACGGUACCCAAGGAGGAAGCCACGGCUAACUACGUGCCAGCCGCCGCAGUAA